rnacentral:rRNA from 1 species
UACAGAGGUCUCAAGCGUUGUUCGGAAUCACUGGGCGUAAAGGGUGCGUAGGCCGCACGGUAAGUCAGAGGUGAAAUCCCGGAGCUCAACUUCGGAAUUGCCUCCGAUACUGCCGUGCUUAAGGACUGGAGAGGAGAUUGGAAUUCACAGUGGAGCAGUGAAAUGCGUAGAUAUUGUGAGGAACACUAGUGGCGAAGGCGAAUCUCUGGACAGUUCCUGACGCUGAGGCACGAAGGCCAGGGGAGCAAACGGG